rnacentral:rRNA from 1 species
UACAGAGGGUGCAAGCGUUGUUCGGAAUUAUUGGGCGUAAAGCGCGUGUAGGCGGCGUGGCAAGUCGGGUGUGAAAGCCCUCAGCUCAACUGAGGAAGUGCGCCCGAAACUGCUGUGCUUGAGUGCCGGAGAGGGAUGCGGAAUUCCAGGUGUAGCGGUGAAAUGCGUAGAUAUCUGGAGGAACACCGGUGGCGAAGGCGGCAUCCUGGACCGGCAUUGACGCUGAGGCGCGAAAGCUAGGGGAGCAAACGGG